CGGGGCGUAGCGCAGAGGUUAGCGCGCUGGGUUCGGGACCCAGAGGUCGCCGGUUCAAAUCCGGCCGCCCCGACCA
rnacentral:tRNA from 1 species